rnacentral:tRNA from 1 species
ACUUUUAAAGGAUAACAGUCAUCCGUUGGUCUUAGGUACCAAAAAUUUUGGUGCAACUCCAAAUAAAAGUAA